AUGAACGCUGGCGGCGUGCCUAAUACAUGCAAGUCGAGCGCACAGACGAGGAGCUUGCUCCUCUGACGUUAGCGGCGGACGGGUGAGUAACACGUGGAUAACCUACCUAUAAGACUGGGAUAACUUCGGGAAACCGGAGCUAAUACCGGAUAAUAUAUUGAACCGCAUGGUUCAAUAGUGAAAGACGGUUUUGCUGUCACUUAUAGAUGGAUCCGCGCCGCAUUAGCUAGUUGGUAAGGUAACGGCUUACCAAGGCAACGAUGCGUAGCCGACCUGAGAGGGUGAUCGGCCACACUGGAACUGAGACACGGUCCAGACUCCUACGGGAGGCAGCAGUAGGGAAUCUUCCGCAAUGGGCGAAAGCCUAACGGAGCAACGCCGCGUGAGUGAUGAAGUUCUUCGGAUCGUAAAACUCUGUUAUUAGGGAAGAACAAAUGUGUAAGUAACUAUGCACGUCUUGACGGUACCUAAUCAGAAAGCCACGGCUAACUACGUG
rnacentral:rRNA from 1 species